rnacentral:sRNA from 1 species
GGUAGUGUCCUGAGCUUGGAGACCAAGUUUCAAUUAAGUCAGACUCAAAGACAGUUUGUUACACUAGAAUCUGUUAAGGAGAAAAACCGUCAUGUUGGAUUUUUGCCCACUGGAGAACUCAAACCAGCUUUAGCCAGCACAAAAGAAAUUGAAUCUCAGCUAGGAGUCCGUUUAAUUAGUACUGGUAUUCCUGCUUAUGGUAAAUAAAGACAAGAUCUUACAUCUCACCUUUUCCUGGUGCUACAGUACAUUUGCAUGGAUUGCAUGGAUACAUUUUUAGUAGGAUUACAUUUAUUAUAUCAUUAUAAUAUACAUUUCUGUACCCCAAAUAUUAUGUGUCUACACUUUGAACUUUAUGCUGCUACUUUCUAAGUUUAUACCAGUACUUAAUUUAUUAUGAAACAAAACUAAAUAAUUAAGUUAAUCAACUAGAGAAGGGUAUGUUACAUAAACCACUCUAUGAUAUAUUCUCUAUAAAUAGCUGAUUUAACAGUAAUAUAAUUCAAUAUCUUAUACUAUUGACAAGACAUACCAAUUCUCUAUUCUGGUAAUAUGUCAUCACUAAUCAAGUGUUGUUUACAUUGAAGGGGUUAAAAACUUGAGGGUUGCCAGUGUAAUCAUAUGUACCUAAUCAGACAGUGUUUCAUGAAAUAAUUUUUUCUUGUUUUAGACAUUUCACUCUGAUUCUUGGGUGGUUUUUAGAUAAUAUACAAAUAAAACGUAUCUCAUUUCUAACAAAUUGUAGGCUAAAAGGGUGUAACAUCACAUGCCAUCCCUGAUGCUGAUUUGACUUAGUCUUCCACUGUUUAAAUACAUCGUUGCUAGAACUAUUUCUUUCUUCCUUGACUGUGACUAUAUUCCCCUUGCUAUUUUUUGUGAUACUCUUCUUCAUUAUACUCUGGUGCUUUGACUCCUGUGAAUAGACUGACUGAUUUAUACAUAUACAUUUACAUAGAAUUUAGUUGUUUUUUUACCACCUGAUAUAAAGCCAUUUACUCAUGUGAUGAAAAUUCUCCAAAUUAUAGUUCACUUCAAAUGUUAGUUUUUGUCUUUUUUUUUGUUUGUUUUGUUUUUUAUUUAAUUUAUGUUUUCCAUUUUAUGAGAAAUGCAAAAUUUUCUAACUUUUAUCCUUUAAAAAAAAGGAAUUUCAAAGAAUGAUUUUUAAAAUAAGGUGUAUAUGUAUACUUCUUACAUGACCUUGAGCCAUAAGACUAGGUCUUAAAAGUAUUCUAGUCAUUGUUUAAUUUUAAACUAAUUUUGUUCAGUCAUUAUUUGCAUAUCCCAUGUUCAUGUUUGAAAGCAUUUGAUCUAAAGAAGUGUUUUUAUUUGACUGUUUUCUGAUGUUUGAUACAAGUGUUCUAUAUACCAGUAUCUCUGUUUGACUGUGCUAUAACUAUAGCAAUUGUUUUUUUUACUUGUUCAUUGAACCUCAAGGGCACUUUUCCAGAUAAAUUUUAGUAUGAACUUUUAGCAUUCUUUAGUCUUUUUU